rnacentral:tRNA from 1 species
GGGCCCAUAGCACAGCUGGUAGAGCGCUUCCAAGGCAUGGAAGAGGUCAGGAGUUCGAGUCUCCUUGGGUCCA